rnacentral:lncRNA from 1 species
GUGUGCCUCAUAGAUAUUGAACCCUGUCAUAUCAUAAUGGAAGCAAUGUUGACUGAUUAUUCAUCUUCUUCUGUAUGGUACUAAAAGAAAGCUGAGAGAAAAAUGUGUUCCUGGGUUUUUAUAUUUCUGAUGGGAACAUUUUACACCUGCUCUAAGGUCUCUGUACUAGGUGAGUCAUUCAGCUAUUUUAUUCAUAAACUAAUUGAUUAAAAAAAACAGAUAAAAUAUUACAAAAUUGUUUUAGGAGAUGUCUACAUUGCUGAGUUGUUAGUGAAAGGAAAAAUCAAGCUUGAUGCUCAGGGCAUGCUGUCAGUUCUGAAUACAACAGCAAGCCUGCAACUGAACAAUACACCUGCAGUCAAAUACACGGUGACCUUCUUACAAGUGACAGCAGAGUGCCUUGUCAUUGGACCUGACACUAGUUGUACCUGCUCUACUGGCUACACUUGGGGCAAUGACGUGUGCUACAAUUACAGCUGUUGUCAUGAUCAUUUGUGCACAGCCCAUGUGUCCCACAUAAUACCACUCUGCGUUCCCAAAGUCAAUGGUAACAUUUGUUGUUAUAAGUUUUGUGUAGCCUAGUCACACUAUAACUUUGUUGGUAAAGCUUUUAUCUACAGGCCAUAAAUCACAGCAUA